rnacentral:rRNA from 1 species
AUUGAACGCUGGCGGCAGGCCUAACACAUGCAAGUCGAGCGAGCGGCGGACGGGUGAGUAAUGUAUGGGGAUCUGCCUGAUGGCGGGGGAUAACUACUGGAAACGGUAGCUAAUACCGCAUACCAUCAGAUGAACCCCUAUGGGAUUAGCUUGUAGGUGAGGUAACGGCUCACCUAGUCGACGAUCCCUAGCUGGUCUGAGAGGAUGAUCAGCCACACGUGGACUGAGACACGGCGCCGACUCGUACGGGAGGCAGCAGUGGGGAAUAUUGCACAAUGGGCGCAAGCCGGAUGCAGCCAUGGCGCGUGUAUGAAGAAGGCCUGCGGGUUGUAAAGUACUUUCAGUCGGGAGGCGUUACCGACAGAAGAAGCACCGGCUAACUCCGUGCCAGCAGCCGCGGUAAUUC